rnacentral:rRNA from 1 species
GACGAACGCUGGCGGCGUGCUUAACACAUGCAAGUCGAACGGAAAGGCCCUGCUUUUGUGGAGUGCUCGAGUGGCGAACGGGUGAGUAACACGUGAGUAACCUGCCCUUGACUUUGGGAUAACUUCAGGAAACUGGGGCUAAUACCGGAUAGGAGCCCCUGCUGCAUGGUGGGGGUUGGAAAGUUUCGGCGGUUGGGGAUGGACUCGCGGCUUAUCAGCUUGUUGGUGGGGUAGUGGCUUACCAAGGCUUUGACGGGUAGCCGGCCUGAGAGGGUGACCGGCCACAUUGGGACUGAGAUACGGCCCAGACUCCUACGGGAGGCAGCAGUGGGGAAUAUUGCACAAUGGGCGGAAGCCUGAUGCAGCAACGCCGCGUGCGGGAUGACGGCCUUCGGGUUGUAAACCGCUUUCGCCUGUGACGAAGCGUGAGUGACGGUAAUGGGUAAAGAAGCACCGGCUAACUACGUG